UUGGAGGGCAAGUCUGGUGCCAGCAGCCGCGGUAAUUCCAGCUCCAAUAGCGUAUAUUAAAGUUGUUGCAGUUAAAAAGCUCGUAGUUGAAUUUCGGGAUCAAUUUGUUGGUCGUGCUAUUGUACGUACUGGUAUUAUUGAUUCCUACCUUCUGACGAACCUUGAUGUCAUUAAUUUGGUGUCAUGGGGAAUCAGGACUGUUACUUUGAAAAAAUUAGAGUGUUUAAAGCAGGCUCACGCUUGAAUACAUUAGCAUGGAAUAACGAAAUAGGACGUUUGAUUCUAUUUUGUUGGUUUCUAGGAUCGACGUAAUGAUUAAUAGGGAUAGUUGGGGGCAUUAGUAUUCAAUUGUCAGAGGUGAAAUUCUUGGAUUUAUUGAAGACUAACUACUGCGAAAGCAUUUGCCAAGGAUGUUUUCAUUAAUCAAGAACGAAAGUUAGGGGAUCGAAGACGAUCAGAUACCGUCGUAGUCUUAACCAUAAACUAUGCCGACUAGGGAUCGGAUGAUGUUAAUUUUUUAAUGACUCAUUCGGCGCCUUACGGGAAAC
rnacentral:rRNA from 1 species